rnacentral:rRNA from 1 species
CCCCUAGAUGUUCUGGGCCGCACGCGCGCUACACUGAACAGUUCAACAAGUCUUAACCUUGGCCGAUAGGUCUGGGUAAUCUUUGAACGCUGUUCGUGAUUGGGAUAGACCUUUGCAAUUAUGGGUCUUCAACGAGGAAUUCCUAGUAAACGCAAGUCAUCAGCUUGCAUUGAUUACGUCCCUGCCCUUUGUACACACCGCCCGUCGCACCUACCGAUUGAAUGGUCCGGUGAAAUCUCGGGACGGCGGCUUGGUCGCUUGCGUCCAACUGCUGAAACUUGAUUAAACCAUAUCAUUUAGAGGAAGGUGAANUCGUAACA